AUCCUCCACUUCCGCCUCCACAUCCGCUUCAAUAAAACUAGAACCAUGGUUUUACUUAUUUCCUAAUACAAAAUCAUGUCUCCAGAUAUGUGUACAUCAACAUUUAUGGUAUAUUUGUUGUAGUUUUGUAAGGUACUCCGUUCUUAACCAAGUGGGGGAAAAAACAUCCUCACAAAUCGCGCUUUCAAGACCACUCAGAUUCGGGGGGGAAAAGAGGUCAAAUCGUGACGUAAGGGAUAUUGAGGUCGGAGAAUUCGGAGCUCGAGGACGAUCCAAUUUUCCGACUUGGAAUUUCGAGUUGGAUGACCGUUCAAAACAAAUUUUCCAAUUCCAAACACAUUUUUUCCGAAUUGCAAGUUGUAUUGAACACACUGAGGUCAAAUGUCGGAGAUUCCCGAGUUUCCAGUUGAAUGGAACGCUGCAUGAGCUCCGACUUUUCUCCCAUUAUGCCCUCUUCGUUUUUUUAUGUAACUAGGCAAGUCAGUUAAGAACAAAUUCUUAUUUAUUUCUAAACCGGGACAACGCUGAGCCAAUUGUGCGCCGCACUAUGGGACUCCCAAUCACAGCCAGUUGUGAUACAGCCUGGAUUCGAACCAGAGUGUUUGUAGUGACGCCUCUAGCACUGUAUCAGGAAAUGAAAGCAGUAUCAGGAAAUCUCCAUAACAGAUUUUUCGGCAGACUAGAAGACACUGGGUAUCUCUCCUCUGAUGGCUGCCAUGAAUGGUCACGUCCCUGCGGUCAAGCUGCUGCUGGACAUGGGCUCAGACAUCAACACUCAGAUCAAGACUAAACGUAACACAGCACAGACCCUGGCCUGCCAACGUGGAGCACUGCGUCAAGGUGAGAGCAGCCAUCAUCGGCUGAACCUGACAUGGUAUGUUAUCUGGGCUAGAGUCAAAGACAUUAGGAAUGAUGUUUGGUGUUAGACUGUUUGGUGCAGUAUGUCACUGACCCAUACCUUCUCUCUGAUUGGUCAAACUCCUCUCAUGGAGGCUGUGUCAGAUGGCUAUACUAAGAUGGGGCUUGUGCUACUGGACAAGAGCGCUUACGUCACCUGUCCAAACCUCCCAAGACACCGUGUGCACCAUUGCUGCAGACAAGGGCCACUACAAGUUCUGUGAGCUCCUCAUCAACACGUAAUUACUGUUACAGUCUACCUUCAGUAUGAGAGUGAUUUCAGUCAGAAUACCAUUCCUCUCCAGUUUCAUUGCUCAGACCUGCAACUCGUCUCUGAGUGAGUUAUUACAGUGUUAUAACCAGCAGUGUGUGUAGUUCGGCAUUUGCUUCUUGCUAAAGUCCAAACUAUUCACAUUUCCUCUCUCCUUUAGUCUGGUCCAUCUCAGAGCUGUGACCAAUCAAAUAAAUUCAAAUCAAAGUUUAUUGUGCACCGAAUACAACAGGUGUUGUAGACCUUAUAGUGAAAUGCUUACUUACAACCCUCAUAUCCCGGGCAUAACAUGUGACUUCAAUCUGAGUGAAUAUGUAUUCUGUUGUAGAUGGUGCUCUGCUCCCUACCCUGUGAUUUGUUGUAUGAAUUGCUGUGAUUUGAGGCUGUAGUUUAUGUUUUAUUUUUAUUUUAUUUGUGUGUAUAAAGGAACACUGCUGUGGUGGCUGUGUGGCUCAGGGCUAUGUUCCCUACUCCCUACAAAGCAUUUUGUUGUAUAAAUUGUAAUAAUAUAAUUUUUUUCUUGUUUUUCUUCUUUUGUUUUUUGGUAUAAAAUAUAAUUCUGAGCAAUGA